rnacentral:rRNA from 1 species
UCUCCAGACUCCUACGGGAGGCAGCAGUGGGGAAUAUUGCACAAUGGGGGGAACCCUGAUGCAGCAAUGCCGCGUGGGUGAAGAAGCACUCCGGUGCGUAAAGCCCUGUCAGCAGGGAAGAAAAUGACAGUACCUGGACAAGAAGCCCCGGCUAACUACGUGCCAGCAGCCGCGGUAAUACGUAGGGGGCAAGCGUUAUCCGGAUUUACUGGGUGUAAAGGGUGCGCAGGUGGCAGGGCAAGUCAGAUGUGAAAGCCCGGGGCUCAACCCCGGUAUUGCAUUUGAAACUGUCCGGCUAGAGUGCAGGAGAGGUAAGCGGAAUUCCUAGUGUAGCGGUGAAAUGCGUAGAUAUUAGGAGGAACACCAGUGGCGAAGGCGGCUUACUGGACUGUAACUGACACUGAGGCACGAAAGCGUGGGGAGCAAACAGGAUUAGAUACCCCAGUA